GAGCAGCGUGGCCACUGGUUUACCGGUUGUCUGAUAAGGCAGGCCGGGCAGCUAAGCCGUUUAGGCUAAGUGCUGAAAGCAUCUAAGCACGAAUCCUAUCCCGAGACAAGUUAUUCUUUCGUAAGAUGAAGGUCGGCAGCAGAAGACUGCGUUGAUAGGAAGGUGGUGUAGAUCACAAGCUUCGGCGAGUGAUGAGCCAGCCUUUACUAAUAGACCAACAUAACGGUUCA
rnacentral:rRNA from 1 species